UGCUAAUAGAAGCAAUUGAAUGUUUUGCUUGAGUAUGUUGCUAAUAUUACCUUUCUGUUAUAUUUACCUUUUGUGUUUACAAAGGUUGAAAUUCUGUUAUGUUUCGAAGUAAGCAAAAUUGAGUUCAAUAUACUACUAUUACUACAUAAUCAACAAAUAUUGAAGGAAAACUGCUCUUUUGAUUUUGAUUGUUCAAUCAAUUUGAUAGAGUGGUCUUUUUCACUGGUUUAGUUUUUAAAUUAUUAAAACUAAAUUGACACUUUCCAAAUUUAAUUUAUUCUAGUUCUUGUGAAGCAGGUGCUGAAUGCUGGCAAAAAUAAGCUUAAAUCAAUGGAUGAGGUCAAAUCUCUUUUGAGCUUACAUGCAUUGAUCUUGAAUGGUAUGGUCUGCUCCAAAUUAUUGUUAUCGCUGUGGUAAUGUAGCUUCAAUAUUGAGCUUCAAUGAGAAUAUGGAGAGAGAGGUGAAGUUCUUCACUGAAACAGAGGAAAACAACCAGAUGAGAGGCCCCAGAAGAUAUGAAGUUCUUAUGAGUGAGGAUUUGUUUGCUUCAUUACCCUGUACUAUUGUUUGAAGUUUGAUGCACUGCCGUUUUCAUUGUGGGCGGGAGAGAAAGAAGAUAUGGACAGAAAUUGUCUUCAUUAAACUUAAAUUGCAAGUCCAUGUUGACUUACCCACUCAAGAUUCGGGAUUCGCUAAAGAGAAUUAGAAAGAGCCAAAGCUUGCUAGCAGUUCCCAAAGAAGCUCGUGAUCCAAAAGAUGAUCAAAUUGUUCAAUCUUUCCGUGAAUUGCUUUUGCUCAAGGGCCAUCUGCCAGGGAAACACAGUGUGAUUACCACACACUUUUACGAGUGUAGCUGUGACUUGGUACAAUGGCAUUGUGGAAAGUACUGUCCACCUCCAGUCUUGCGGUGUAGGUUAGCCUAACAUGGCUGCAGAUUUGGCUGAUGCUGUGAUUGAAAGUCUUCCAUACGUUGGAGCGAUGGCAGUCUCAAAUCUUGAAGCUUGACAGUCUCUAGUUCCUCUUGGAAGCGUUGAAGAACUAUUGGCAGCGUAUGAUUUGCAGCGUCGGGAGCUUCCACCACCGGUCACGGUGUGGGAAUGGGGAUGGACAAAAAGUGCUGAAACUUGGAAUAAUUGUAGUGUAGUGAUAUGAAGAAAAUAAUACAUUUUUUUUGCAGUUAUUUUAUUCCUUGGUGACUGCACAAAGCCUCCUCAGCUGUCCAUGGUGACUGAAUACGUGGAAAUGGGAUCAUUGUAUCAUUUAAUCCAUGUGAGUGGGCUGAAAAAGAGACUCAGCUGGAGAAGGAGAGUGAAAAUGAUAUGUGAUAUAUUCAGGUGCAUUUGACCAUCAACUUUUCCAUUGCACUACCUCAUUGACAUUGCACAUUUAUGUUGGUACUACUGCUAAAUAAGUAACUUAUGGUUGCUUUUGGAGCUCAGUAUAUUUUUUUAUGUUAGUAUAUUUGCUUUUGCAUUAAUGAAUGAGCAUUCUUUCACUACAGGAAAUAUCUGUUUUGUGGAAAAUGAUUACUCUUUUUUUUAUAUUUACCAUAGGCCUAUAUUAUUCAAUUAAAUGUUGAAGGUGUAUUUCCUCGUUAAGUAUUUUGUAAUUUUUCAGCUGAGUUUAAAAUGAAAAGGUUAUUAUUCCUUUUGUCAUUUGCAAUGACUACUUGUUCAAGCUUUUGCUGAUUGGAGAUUCUGGAGUUGGAAAAUCAUGUCUUCUUCUGAGAUUUGCUAAAUUGCUGUUCUGUUGUUUGAUUCUCCUCUUGAGCUCUGUUCUGUUCCUCACUGUCACUGCGAGAUCGCCGAUCUUCAAGGUAUGUUUCGUUUCUCUACUUUCUUUUUGAUCUAUACAAAUUGCAUAUAUAUAU